rnacentral:lncRNA from 1 species
AGCUGCUCUUUGUGUGACGCAUUUCCUCACCCAGCCGCAGAUUGCAACAGAGGAGAUGAGAUAAAGAUGAGGAACCUCAACAGAAAGGAUGGAUGUAAACAGUGGGUUUGCUGUGCAGUGACAAGAGCCCAGCUUGGGAAGGGUGUUGAGUGGGGUGAAGAUGUCACAGGAACUCACGAAAGCCAGAGGAGUUCACAGUUCAGAGAAGGUCACCUUUAUUGAACUGUUUUCCUGUUGGCCAUCCCUUCUGGGCCCCAAGUUCUGCAUUUGCAGCAUCUGGCACAGUGCUGGGCACAUCCUGAGCUUGAGAAAAGGAACCUGGGCAGGAGGAGAUAAGCCAAUAUAUCUGCCUGUUGAGCCUACAGUUAAAAAUAAUUAUAGAGAACAUGGUGAUGCUUCAGAAACUGUCAGGAUCUUUACUCUUUGUCCAGGAAGCCCUGAACUGUCAUUGGAAAUAAGAUGCCAGAACCACAGAUGUCCUUAGGCAGA